rnacentral:misc_RNA from 1 species
GUUCGUGCCACCGAGGAGCCUUGUUCCUAAGCACUAGAACUCCAUCUUUCUGAUCAGUUGAAGAUCCUGAUGGUUGAUUGUCUGUGUGAUUCGAUUUUGACCAGGAAAAUCUCAAUGAUGGAAGAAAGUCUAUACGAUUUGGCGAGAAUUCAGUCUGUAUUGGAGCCACCCCUCCUGGCUCAAUAGCAGAGGCAGGAAUAGCAUCCAUUACACAAUGCAUUCUCCUUGGACCCCUUGAACCCAAGACAUUUAACUCAUAUGAGAUGUGAGCCACAGGGUAGUUGCCGGCAGGAACUCUAGGUGAC